rnacentral:rRNA from 1 species
CCUACGGGGUGCUGCAGUGGGGAAUAUUGCGCAAUGGGCGCAAGCCUGACCCAGCAACGCCGCGUGAAGGAUGAAGGCUUUCGGGUUGUAAACUCCUUUUAUAGGGGAAGAGCAUGAGACUGUAUCCCGAAUACACGCCACGGCUCACCCUGGGCGAGCACGCGCGGUAACACGUAGGGGGCAAGCGUCGCUCGGUUACACUGGGUGUAAAGGGCGCGAAGGCGGGUAGGCAAGUCAGAUGUGAAAUUCGGAAGCUCAACCAUAAAAUUGCAUUUGAAACUGUGUCUCUAGAGUGCGGGAGAGGCAGGUGGAAUUCCUUGUGUAGGGGUAAAAUGCGUAGAGAUAAAGAGGAACACCAAUGGCGAAGGCGAUCUACUGGAAAACAACUGACGCUGAGGCACGAAAGCGUGGGGAGCAAACAGGAUUAGAUACCCCAGUAGUC